rnacentral:rRNA from 1 species
ACGAACGCUGGCGGCAUGCCUAACCCAUGCAAGUCGAACGAGACCUUCGGGUCUAGUGGCGCACGGGUGCGUAACGCGUGGGAACCUGCCCUUAGGUUCGGAAUAACUCCCCGAAAGGGGUGCUAAUACCGGAUAAUGUCUUCGGACCAAAGAUUUAUCGCCUUUGGAUGGGCCCGCGUUGGAUUAGCUAGUUGGUAGGGUAAAAGCCUACCAAGGCGACGAUCCAUAGCUGGUCUGAGAGGAUGAUCAGCCACACUGGGACUGAGACACGGCCCAGACUCCUACGGGAGGCAGCAGUGGGGAAUAUUGGACAAUGGGCGAAAGCCUGAUCCAGCAAUGCCGCGUGAGUGAUGAAGGCCUUAGGGUUGUAAAGCUCUUUUACCCGGGAUGAUAAUGACAGUACCGGGAGAAUAAGCUCCGGCUAACUCCGUG